rnacentral:rRNA from 1 species
UACGUAGGGUGCAAGCGUUGUCCGGAAUUAUUGGGCGUAAAGAGCUCGUAGGCGGUUUGUCGCGUCGGCUGUGAAAACCCGGGGCUCAACCCCGGGCCUGCAUUCGAUACGGGCAGACUAGAGUUCGGUAGGGGAGUCUGGAAUUCCUGGUGUAGCGGUGAAAUGCGCAGAUAUCAGGAGGAACACCGGUGGCGAAGGCGGGACUCUGGGCCGAUACUGACGCUGAGGAGCGAAAGCGUGGGGAGCAAACAGG